rnacentral:rRNA from 1 species
GACGAACGCUGGCGGCGUGCUUAACACAUGCGAGUCGAACGGAAAGGCCCUUCGGGGUCCUCGAGUGGCGAACGGGUGAGUAACACGUGGGUGAUCUGCCCUGCACUUUGGGAUAAGCCUGGGAAACUGGGUCUAAUACCGAAUAGGACCACGCGCUUCAUGGUGUGUGGUGGAAAGCUUUUGCGGUGUGGGAUGGGCCCGCGGCCUAUCAGCUUGUUGGUGGGGUAAUGGCCUACCAAGGCGACGACGGGUAGCCGGCCUGAGAGGGUGACCGGCCACACUGGGACUGAGAUACGGCCCAGACUCCUACGGGAGGCAGCAGUGGGGAAUAUUGCACAAUGGGCGCAAGCCUGAUGCAGCGACGCCGCGUGAGGGAUGACGGCCUUCGGGUUGUAAACCUCUUUCAAUAGGGACGAAGCGCAAGUGACGGUACCUAGAGAAGAAGCACCGGCCAACUACGUG